rnacentral:lncRNA from 12 species
GCGGACAUUCACUCUACAAAGGUGAGGUGAGGCAGGGGAACUCUGAGGCUGGUGGUCUGCUGUGGAAUGACACACCAGCCUUUAUAUUUCUGAUCCCAGCUACUCCAACCAAGUAAGAACAGUUUAAGAACAUUUUUAAGAACAGUUUCAUUUUAUUCUUUUCUCAGAAACUAGAAGGCUAAUGGAAAAAUCAGGCCCCAGCUGUUUGUCUGUGGAUCAGUCCAAGUUGAUCAAUGACAUCAUUGGCUGCUCCAAUGGCAUUUUCAAUUGCUAUCAACUAAGAAAGGAAGGUAAAGCUCAAUAUUGACUGACCUUCAGGUUUCAGAGAAAUCUAGAGUUGGCUUCUGAGGUUGCAAUCUUCAUGGCCAUUCUAAUAAUAGGCUCUAAGGGAGACACCAGACAGUAUUAUCUGUAUGUUGCCCUAAACACAUGAAGAGCCAGGAAGAAGGAACAAUUCUAUUUUUUUAAUCCAUGGCUGAGACAUCUCACUAUCUCUGUUGACUGAGAAAGCACAUUUGUCUAAAAUAGGACAGACGGUAAGGUUUAGGCAUCAUGCACAGAACAAAGACUUCCACAAACACAUACCAACCAUGCCUAAGGUACUAGAGGAAACAACAUAUCAUUCCCUUUUUUAAAUUCCUUCAAAGAAGACUUGCCAAGAAAGGGUAAAAGAGCUAGCUUCAAGUUCUUGAGAGGCUGUAAAAGAUGUAUAUUAGUGAGGUAGAAUUUAGGACCAGUGGAUAGAAGUUCUCCUAAUAGAAAUUUUGGCUUGAUAUGACAUUUCUAACCUAGAAGCUGCCGAGUAAUGAGAUGGAUAUGCAGUCAUUAUACAUCUUCACACUGAAAUGGAAUGAUAUCCGGGGUGAUCUUGUGAGGAAGAUUCGACUAGGUCACAGGUCAUUCCCAAGAACAUUUGGGAGAAAGGCAAUUACAGGAGACACCAUUUUUUGUGAGGAAUAAUGUGACAUUGUCAGUAGAGUGAGCUGUGCUCCCAGAGAGAAUAGCACCAGAGGAAAAAUCAAGUUCAACAGCAUUCUUCGUCUUCAGAAUUAUCCCUCUCCCAAAUAAAAGGACGA